CCCAUCUCAGGGUUGGAUCUGGAGAGUUUCCAGUACUCUACCAGUUUUCACUAUGGGAGGGAGAGUCAAGCAGAGGCAUAUCCAUUCCAUUCCUAGCUUGGGCAUCAACUAGCCAGUGGAAGACAAUCUGCUACAAGU